UACAGAGGGGGCAAGCGUUGUUCGGAAUUACUGGGCGUAAAGGGCGCGUAGGCGGCCUUCUAAGUCGAACGUGAAAUCCCCGGGCUCAACCCGGGAACUGCGUCCGAUACUGGAAGGCUUGAAUCCGGGAGAGGGAUGCAGAAUUCCAGGUGUAGCGGUGAAAUGCGUAGAUAUCUGGAGGAAUACCGGUGGCGAAGGCGGCAUCCUGGACCGGCAUUGACGCUGAUGAGCGAAAGCUAGGGGAGCAAACAGG
rnacentral:rRNA from 1 species